CAAAGUUCGAAAUUUGCGGCCAACAGUUAUCAUCUUUGUGACUUUUCUUUUUCUAUCACAUUCAAACUAACCUACCGGAGAAUUUCGAUGAUUAUCUCUAUGGCUACUUCUUAUUUUUCAUAACAUUCAAACUCAUCAUCGUUUCUAUAAACCAUUCAAACCCCACCACCGUUCGAAGUUGUUUGGUUUGUUCACCGUCACACUCCGGGGUGACAGCACGCCGCACAACCUACCGCCAAGAGCCGUUUGCCACCGUAGCACCACCAUCGGCCGCCGCGAAUCAGUUGUGCCACCGCAAUCAUCUGCCAUCACACCGCUACUUUGCUCCUUCGUUAUAGUUUCAUGGUCGUCGCCAUCAGUUCUGACUCACGAGCAGCCACAACAAAUCGUUAGUUACCACCACCGCGUUACGCGUAUUCCGUUCAGCAAUAGCGGGUUGAUCGCAACCAGCGCCGCCCUUAAUCUGUUUGGUUCAUUCGAUUAUAAGAGGUUCUUGAUUUUCGAGAUCGAGUUGAUUAAUUGGUCUUGCUUGCUUGCUAAAAGGUAAUUUGGGAAACGUGGGGAAUAAGUGAAGAGUGUCCUGAAGAUAAAGAUUUAUUUUUAUUUCGGUUAUGUAAUGUAAAUGUAAUUAGGAUCUUUUGUUUUUAACGUUAUGGAUCGGUUCUUAGUUUUGAUAUCUGUAUGAGUGACACGUCAGCCUGUCCAGGUUGGGGUGUUACACCACAACCACACCUGUGACUCCCUUGACAAUGAGCUCACUCAUGCCCUUUUAUGCCAUCUUGGAUUAGUGUUUCGCUC